CAGCAGAGGGAUGCUGGUGGUGCUGGUGGCACUGCAGUGCUGGCAGUGCUGGCGGUGCCUGGUGAGGCAGCUGGGUGCUUGUCAGAAUCAACUCCCAUUCCAGGAAGAGCUCCGGGUUCAUUGCAAACACCUCCCCUGGGCCUCAUAAAAGCCCAGGUCUCAUUGCUGAGGCUCUCUCCUGUUCCUCAUCUCCUGGACAAAGGCAAGAGCAGAUGAGAACCAGAGCCCUGCUCCCAUCAAAGGCUCUGGAAGGAACCUUAGAGAUCAUCUCAUUCCAACCCUGCAGCCAUGGGCAGGGACACCCAGGAAGCCUUUUGCUUUGAAACCUUUGCUUUGAGUCUUUCCCAUUCAACAGGCCUGCGCUCCCUCUGUCUCAGAAGUGAGCUUCCCUACCCUGUGGAAUAUUAAAAUUGAGUCAGUAAGGCUCAGAGCUUUUCCCAGUGGGUUUUCCUGGUGUCUUUGAUCAAAAAGAGCGUGCAGGUGGAUCAGAAGUCUCGGCACAGCAGUGCAGAACAAUUCCUGGGCCAUUCCUGUCCAUCUCCGGCAGGUCCUGACACAUGGGAAGGCCCUGUGGAGGCUUCACAAUGAGCUUUGUUGCCUGGGUGAGUGGGCAGGUAUUUGGGACGGCCCCUGGGAGGCUUUCCCCAAAAUGCACACUGAGUCUGGGGCUGUGUGCAGUCUUGUGAGUGGGAGAGGGAUGGUCUUCAGUGAUCCUUCCAACCCAAACCAUUCUAGGAUUCCAUGGAAAACGGGAAGCUCAGGUAGGGACUGGCCUGGGUGACAAGGAAGGUGCUUGGAAAUCGAAAAAGUUCAUGGAAAGAUCAUGAUCCACCUGCACUUGCCUUGGGAGACGCUCCCUGGCUGAGUUGUUCUUUCCUGGACAAGAGGUUGUACCUUGGAAAGUUUCUCCUGUCCAAUGGACAGGAAAAAGGGAGACAGGGAGAGAAAAACCCUCCCAGAUGUGGGAGUUGCUCUGCUCUCUUCAUUAUUAACAACUCUGUUAAUAAAUGCUUUUUAGGAUGUUUCACCUCA